GGGAUCCACACCCAGACAUGCGCACCCAGUGAGGAAACAGAGAGGUGUGUGCAGAAGGGACAAGAAAAGAAAUGUGAUUUGAGGACUGAGGAAAAUCUGGGCUGAGCAGGUGGGAGACUCAGGUUCUGUUGCGGAUCGAGCGUCACAUCGGACCACGUGGGAGAUCUGGGCUUCUCCCCACAGCGUACCAACUCACUGCCUGACCCUGAUGAAAUUAUGUGCCAGAGGGCAGCUUCUGGCCUGGCCGCUGCUCGGAGCUGUGGCUCUCUCGAUCACUCCGCGGGACUUGCCAGCUCCGACCACCCCUGGGAGGCCUAGGAGAACCACGGUCAGUGGGCACAGGGCAAGAGCACAGAUGGAAACCUAUAUGCCCCAUGGCUAAAUAUCCAACAUUUAUAAAUCAAGUGAGCAAGCUGUCAAAUAGAAUGUUGGAUUUUCCUGCCUCCAUGAGUAUGCAGUCAGAAUGACCUGGAAAGUCAAGUUUGAAUUUAGAAUUCUUAGACUUUUCAAAGUCCCUCCAUGAUUGUGGUGGGGACAUAUGAGAGAACCGGGCUGGUGAUGCGACCACGUGCGUGCUGGGGGCUCCAGGGCAGUUGGCUGACUUGGUACAAACACAAACUGUGUUUUAACCUCAUCAAUACCUUAUGCUUUUUAUUUUCUCCUAGGCCAAUGUGGCAAAAGAUCUAAAGGCAGUAUGCACAGUGGUUAAGAGCUGCAUUCAAAUUCCAGGGCUGCCAAAAUUUAGCACUUAAUCUCUUUGAGUCUCAACUUCCCCAUCUGUAAAAUGGGACAAAUGGUACUUCCCUGAGAAAGUUAUUGUGAUUAUUAAAAGAGGUAGCCCCUGUAAAGCCCUUAGCUUGGUCCUGCAACAUAAUAAUUGCUCAAUAAAUGGUGAACUAUUUUACUACUAUAAUUUCUCCAUGCAUGGGCAAUGACAGCAUCAGAACAUGAAGUUGUCUGCCCGGUCUCUUCAUUGCACACACACACUCAAACAAGUCACUCAACUGAGCAGAAGCAGAAGUCUCCAACCUUCCCAUAGUCUUGGGAUUUGCCCUAGCUAAAAAAAAAAAAAAUGGGGCUGCGUCAA